ACGCGGUUCUCCACGCUCACGCGGCGCCACCACUGCCGGAAGUGCGGCUUUGUGGUGUGCGCCGAGUGCUCGCGCGAGCGCUU
rnacentral:miRNA from 1 species